UGAAGGCAUUAGCUACAGCCAUUUUUUGCCUGGCAAAGUGAUAAAGUAUCUUCCAUCUUUAUACCCAAGCUCUGUCUUUGUAUUAUAUAUUUCGGCUCCGGAGCACAGAAGUCAGUUUGGACAAGACUUUCAGUCAUGGAAGGCUGGGACAUUGUCUAGAGAGGUCCUCAAGACCCAACAGCCUCUACCGGUCUUUCUGUGGCUGCGUCUUUUUUUAUUCCAGUACCAAGACAGCUGCUUCAACUUCAGGCAUCACGGCUGCGUUCUGCUGGGGAGGAAGUAGAGAAGGUCAAAAGGCAAAAAGAGAGAGAGAGAGAGAUCAAAAGUACGCAGAGCAGCUGGCGGAGAG